rnacentral:rRNA from 1 species
AGAGGAAGUAAAAGUCGUAACAAGGUCUCCGUUGGUGAACCAGCGGAGGGAUCAUUGCUGGAACGCGCCCCAGGCGCACCCAGAAACCCUUUGUGAACUUAUACCUUACUGUUGCCUCGGCGCUAGCUGGUCCUUCGGGGCCCCUCACCCCCGGGUGUUGAGACAGCCCGCCGGCGGCCAACCCAACUCUUGUUUUUACACUGAAACUCUGAGAAUAAAACAUAAAUGAAUCAAAACUUUCAACAACGGAUCUCUUGGUUCUGGCAUCGAUGAAGAACGCAGCGAAAUGCGAUAAGUAAUGUGAAUUGCAGAAUUCAGUGAAUCAUCGAAUCUUUGAACGCACAUUGCGCCCUCUGGUAUUCCGGAGGGCAUGCCUGUUCGAGCGUCAUUUCAACCCUCAAGCCUGGCUUGGUGAUGGGGCACUGCUUCUUACCCAAGGAGCAGGCCCUGAAAUUCAGUGGCGAGCUCGCCAGGACCCCGAGCGCAGUAGUUAAACCCUCGCUCUGGAAGGCCCUGGCGGUGCCCUGCCGUUAAACCCCCAACUUCUGAAAAUUUGACCUCGGAUCAGGUAGGAAUACCCGCUGAACUUAAGCAUA